AUUCCAGCUCCAAUAGCGUAUAUUAAAGUUGUUGCAGUUAAAAAGCUCGUAGUUGGAUUUCUGGCGUCGCCGCCCGGUCGGCCUCGAAAGGGGUUCGCACUCGUUGGCGCGCGUCGCCAUCCUCGGGGGAAGGCCGCCUGGCAUUAAGUUGUCGGACGGUCGACGCUCGUCGUUUACUGUGAACAAAUUAGAGUGUUCAAAGCAGGCUUAGGCCGUUGAAUACAUUAGCAUGGAAUAAUGAGAUAGGACUUUGGUGGUCUAUUUUGUUGGUUUGCACGCCGAAGUAAUGAUUAAUAGGGGCGGUUGGGGGUAUUCGUAUUCAAUUGUCAGAGGUGAAAUUCUUGGAUUUAUGGAAGACGAACUACUGCGAAAGCAUUUACCAAGGAUGUUUUCAUCA
rnacentral:rRNA from 1 species